rnacentral:rRNA from 1 species
CAGUAGCCGCGGUAAUACGUAGGUGGCAAGCGUCGUCCGGAAUUAUUGGGCGUAAAGGGCUCGCAGGCGGUUUCUUAAGUCUGAUGUGAAAGCCCCCGGCUCAACCGGGGAGGGUCAUUGGAAACUGGGAAACUUGAGUGCAGAAGAGGAGAGUGGAAUUCCACGUGUAGCGGUGAAAUGCGUAGAGAUGUGGAGGAACACCAGUGGCGAAGGCGACUCUCUGGUCUGUAACUGACGCUGAGGAGCGAAAGCGUGGGGAGCGAGCAGGAUUAGAUACCCCGGUAGUCCCUGUCUCUUAUAC